rnacentral:rRNA from 1 species
UAGUGGCGAACGGGUGAGUAACACGUGGGCAAUCUGCCCUUCACUCUGGGACAAGCCCUGGAAACGGGGUCUAAUACCGGAUAUCACUCCUGCAGGCAUCUGCGGGGGUUGAAAGCUCCGGCGGUGAAGGAUGAGCCCGCGGCCUAUCAGCUUGUUGGUGAGGUAAUGGCUCACCAAGGCGACGACGGGUAGCCGGCCUGAGAGGGCGACCGGCCACACUGGGACUGAGACACGGCCCAGACUCCUACGGGAGGCAGCAGUGGGGAAUAUUGCACAAUGGGCGAAAGCCUGAUGCAGCGACGCCGCGUGAGGGAUGACGGCCUUCGGGUUGUAAACCUCUUUCAGCAGGGAAGAAGCGAAAGUGACGGUACCUGCAGAAGAAGCGCCGGCUAACUACGUGCCAGCAGCCGCGGUAAUACGUAGGGCGCAAGCGUUGUCCGGAUUUAUUGGGCGUAAAGAGCUCGUAGGCGGCUUGUCACGUCGGGUGUGAAAGCCCGGGGCUUAACCCCGGGUCUGCAUUCGAUACGGNCUAGCUAGAGUGUGGUAGGGGAGAUCGGAAUUCCU